rnacentral:rRNA from 1 species
GAUGAACGCUGGCGGCGUGCCUAAUACAUGCAAGUCGAGCGAACAGAUGAGGAGCUUGCUCCUCUGACGUUAGCGGCGGACGGGUGAGUAACACGUGGAUAACCUACCUAUAAGACUGGGAUAACUUCGGGAAACCGGAGCUAAUACCGGAUAAUAUAUUGAACCGCAUGGUUCAAUAGUGAAAGACGGUUUUGCUGUCACUUAUAGAUGGAUCCGCGCCGCAUUAGCUAGUUGGUAAGGUAACGGCUUACCAAGGCAACGAUGCGUAGCCGACCUGAGAGGGUGAUCGGCCACACUGGAACUGAGACACGGUCCAGACUCCUACGGGAGGCAGCAGUAGGGAAUCUUCCGCGAUGGGCGAAAGCCUGACGGAGCAACGCCGCGUGAGUGAUGAAGGUCUUAGGAUCGUAAAACUCUGUUAUUAGGGAAGAACAAAUGUGUAAGUAACUAUGCACGUCUUGACGGUACCUAAUCAGAAAGCCACGGCUAACUACGUG